rnacentral:rRNA from 1 species
AUUGAACGCUGUUGGCAGGCUUAACACAUGCAAGUCGAACGAUGAAACUCUAGCUUGCUAGAGAAGAUUAGUGGCGGACGGGUGAGUAACAUUUAGGAAUCUGCCUAGUAGUGGGGGAUAGCUCGGGGAAACUCGAAUUAAUACCGCAUACGACCUACGGGUGAAAGGGGGCGCAAGCUCUUGCUAUUAGAUGAGCCUAAAUCAGAUUAGCUAGUUGGUGGGGUAAAGGCCCACCAAGGCGACGAUCUGUAACUGGUCUGAGAGGAUGAUCAGUCACACCGGAACUGAGACACGGUCCGGACUCCUACGGGAGGCAGCAGUGGGGAAUAUUGGACAAUGGGGGCAACCCUGAUCCAGCCAUGCCGCGUGUGUGAAGAAGGCCUUUUGGUUGUAAAGCACUUUAAGCAGGGAGGAGAGGCUAAUGGUUAAUACCCAUUAGAUUAGACGUUACCUGCAGAAUAAGCACCGGCUAACUCUGUGCCAGCAGCCGCGGUAAUACAGAGGGUGCGAGCGUUAAUCGGAAUUACUGGGCGUAAAGCGAGUGUAGGUGGCUCAUUAAGUCACAUGUGAAAUCCCCGGGCUUAACCUGGGAACUGCAUGUGAUACUGGUGGUGCUAGAAUAUGUGAGAGGGAAGUAGAAUUCCAGGUGUAGCGGUGAAAUGCGUAGAGAUCUGGAGGAAUACCGAUGGCGAAGGCAGCUUCCUGGCAUAAUAUUGACACUGAGAUUCGAAAGCGUGGGUAGCAAACAGGAUUAGAUACCCUGGUAGUCCACGCCGUAAACGAUGUCUACUAGCCGUUGGGGUCCUUGAGACUUUAGUGGCGCAGUUAACGCGAUAAGUAGACCGCCUGGGGAGUACGGCCGCAAGGUUAAAACUCAAAUGAAUUGACGGGGGCCCGCACAAGCGGUGGAGCAUGUGGUUUAAUUCGAUGCAACGCGAAGAACCUUACCUGGUCUUGACAUAGUGAGAAUCCUGCAGAGAUGCGGGAGUGCCUUCGGGAAUUCACAUACAGGUGCUGCAUGGCUGUCGUCAGCUCGUGUCGUGAGAUGUUGGGUUAAGUCCCGCAACGAGCGCAACCCUUUUCCUUAUUUGCCAGCGGGUUAAGCCGGGAACUUUAAGGAUACUGCCAGUGACAAACUGGAGGAAGGCGGGGACGACGUCAAGUCAUCAUGGCCCUUACGACCAGGGCUACACACGUGCUACAAUGGUAGGUACAGAGGGUUGCUACACAGCGAUGUGAUGCUAAUCUCAAAAAGCCUAUCGUAGUCCGGAUUGGAGUCUGCAACUCGACUCCAUGAAGUCGGAAUCGCUAGUAAUCGCAGAUCAGAAUGCUGCGGUGAAUACGUUCCCGGGCCU